GUGGGUAACCUGCCCAUAAGACUGGGAUAACUCCGGGAAACCGGGGCUAAUACCGGAUAAUAUUUUGAACUGCAUGGUUCGAAAUUGAAAGGCGGCUUCGGCUGUCACUUAUGGAUGGACCCGCGUCGCAUUAGCUAGUUGGUGAGGUAACGGCUCACCAAGGCAACGAUGCGUAGCCGACCUGAGAGGGUGAUCGGCCACACUGGGACUGAGACACGGCCCAGACUCCUACGGGAGGCAGCAGUAGGGAAUCUUCCGCAAUGGACGAAAGUCUGACGGAGCAACGCCGCGUGAGUGAUGAAGGCUUUCGGGUCGUAAAACUCUGUUGUUAGGGAAGAACAAGUGCUAGUUGAAUAAGCUGGCACCUUGACGGUACCUAACCAGAAAGCCACGGCUAACUACGUGCCAGCAGCCGCGGUAAUACGUAGGUGGCAAGCGUUAUCCGGAAUUAUUGGGCGUAAAGCGCGCGCAGGUGGUUUCUUAAGUCUGAU
rnacentral:rRNA from 1 species